GGGUGAAACUUAUUACUAAAAAUUAUUUACUAAAAUAAUUGAUUAAGAAUCUACCUAUAAAUGUACAUGGGUGAGCCAGCCAAAGUUGGACUCGUGUGCAGUCUGUGUGGAUUCUAAUACCCGCUGAGAAAUUAGAGCAAUUUCUCGGAUUGGAGGUAGAGGCUACCAAUUCGACAAAAAUAGUAGGAGAACUUUUAGACUAAAAUCCAAGUCAUUAGGCUUAAUCAAUUCAUAAACAUAGAGAUCUUAUAUUUUUUCUUUCAGUUAUAGCUAAAUGUCUGUUGCUCCAUUCACUGUGUGACAGUGACUUAUUUAUAGGAUCCAACUUCGAUAGAU
rnacentral:lncRNA from 1 species